ensembl:processed_transcript uncharacterized LOC110285832
UGUUUCCAGGGUACUGUGACAACGUGAAGAGCUCAAGCUGCCUCCCAGGAUGAGUACAGGUUUUCCUGGUGAUGAUGAAUCUCAGGCAUUCAAAGGUUAGUUAGAUUAUUUUGGAUGGGGUUUGUUCACUAGGUUGGCUGUUUCUAUGAUGAAUCAAACUAGCUCACUAUGACUGCUAAUGAAAACACAGGAACACCUGAGAAACCAAAGGGUAGAGUGCGGGGGCAAGGGCGCUUAUAUCCAGCCUUUUCAACGUUUGUUAUUUUUCUCCAGGUUCUGUUAGCAGUGCCAUGCUUGUUGGCUCACAGGUGAGUAAUUCCGGCAUGUGGUGUGGUGUAUGUGCAUAGCAUUGGACUGGUGGGGGGAUCCUGAGAACAUACUCUGUAUAUAUGAUGACUUUCAUAGAAUCUCGUUCGGCUGAUGAUUGCUGUUGAGACUUGGAAAUCUGAUUUUUCUCAGAAUAAUGGGUUAGAUAGGAACAAUCUACUGCAGGAUUUUUAAUAUUGCUGAUGACUGUCUUGUGUUUCAGAGAGGGUGUGUCUGGCUGAGAGCAAAGGAGCCAUACCAGGAAAGUUAAAGCGUAUUUUCAUCUUCAAGUCCAGGCUAAAAUAAGGUCUGAGGAAAAGAAUGAGCUGUGAGUGAAAGAUAGGAACAGAAAUCAUGAAAGAUCUGUUUGUCCAGGCCAGUGUUUCACCAUAAGAGAUCACUUUAAAAUAGAUGAAAUAAUUCUUUGCAAUUGCAAAUUUACCUUCCUUGCUUAACCACAUUCAUUGUUAACUGUAGGAGCUGAUAUCUGGUCCUUCCAUUGAUGACUUGUAGCUCUGUAUUCUAGCAAUAAACGCUCUUUAUGCUA